GCAGCCGCGGUAUACGUACGGUGCGAGCGUUGUCCGGAUUUAUUGGGCGUAAAGGGCUCGUACGUGGUUGAUCGCGUCGGAAGUGUAAUCUUGGGGCUUAACCCUGAGCGUGCUUUCGAUACGGGUUGACUUGAGGAAGGUAGGGGAGAAUGGAAUUCCUGGUGGAGCGGUGGAAUGCGCAGAUAUCAGGAGGAACACCAGUGGCGAAGGCGGUUCUCUGGGCCUUUCCUGACGCUGAGGAGCGAAAGCGUGGGGAGCGAACAGGCUUAGAUACCCUGGUAGUCCACGCUGUAAACGGUGGGUACUACGUGUGGGGUCCAUUCCACGGGUUCCGUGCCGUAGCUAACGCUUUAAGUACCCCGCCUGGGGAGUACGG
rnacentral:rRNA from 1 species